UUACAAACCGCAAACUCUCUUUUCUUCCUUUGUUCGAUCAAACUCUUCUAAUCUCUUUAUUCUCUCGAUCUUUUACUUCAAAUCUUACAUGGUAUCAGAGCCAGGUUGUUCUUAACCAACCUAUUGUCUCAUCCACCUCGUUCGCAACUCUAUUCUCUUUGGCUUCAUCCAUUGUUCUUGAAACCACCAUUCGCUCCAAAUCUUUACCCGUC
rnacentral:lncRNA from 1 species